AUAUAUGAUGUAUAUGAUAGAAUAAAUUUUACUCAUAAAUCCCUAUGUAUGUUGGACUAAGAAAAUCCAAGCAGCCUCUUAGAUCUAUCUCUAUAGAUCUCUAGAAUAAGAGAUGCUUCUCUCAAAUUUUUUAUAGAGAACAAUAAUAACAGUGAAAUCUUUAUUCUCUGUAAUGUAAAGAAUAUUAUUUUUGAUUAAAAAAAUUUUAUUCAUAUACAAAAUAAGA
rnacentral:lncRNA from 1 species